UACGGCCGCAAGGUUAAAACUCAAAUGAAUUGACGGGGGCCCGCACAAGCGGUGGAGCAUGUGGUUUAAUUCGAUGCAACGCGAAGAACCUUACCUACUCUUGACAUCGAGCGAACUUUCCAGAGAUGGAUUGGUGCCUUCGGGAACGCUCAGACAGGUGCUGCAUGGCCGUCGUCAGCUCGUGUUGUGAAAUGUUGGGUUAAGUCCCGUAACGAGCGCAACCCUUGUCCCUAUUUGCCAGCGAUUCGGUCGGGAACUCUAGGGAGACUGCCGGUGACAAACCGGAGGAAGGUGGGGACGACGUCAGGUCAUCAUGGCCCUUACGAGUAGGGCUACACACGUGCUACAAUGGCCGGUACAAUGGGCUGCAAUCCCGCGAGGGGGAGCUAAUCUCAUAAAGCCGGUCUCAGUCCGGAUCGGAGUCUGCAACUCGACUCCGUGAAGUCGGAAUCGCUAGUAAUCGUGCAUCAGAAUGGCACGGUGAAUACGUUCCCGGGCCUUGUACACACCGCCCGUCACACCAUGGGAGUGGACUGCACCAGAAGUGGUUAGCCUAACUUCGGAGGGCGAUCACCACGGUGUGGUUCAUGACUGGGGUGAAGUCGUAACAAGGUAACCGU
rnacentral:rRNA from 1 species